UUGUGUAUGCGUCGUUUGUUUAUGGUGAAGAAAAAAAUUUCGUUGUAGGCGCAUGUAUUAUAAGUUUUAAAGUUAGAAGAUUCCACGGAAAGUGUAACUGAGUGUUCGUUAUUCUUAAUACAACUGUUAGCAUUUAAAAGUAUAAAUAUAUAUGUCUAUCCUGAAUCUGCGGUCUUGUAACAAACUGGGUUCAGGCGGAAACAAAUAAUGCGUUAUGUUAAACACUGUUGAGGUGCUGUUUCUGGUGCUCCAUUGGCCAGUUACCAGGCAACUGAUUGGUGGAGCUUUGGUGUUUUGAAACAGGAGAUAUUGUUGAGAUCUACGCGUUUUGAAGCAGAAGGAGAAAACAACCAGCAGGUGAUAUUUGAGUGAUUCUCGGCAUCUGGAAACAGAUAGGAUAUUCAUGUUCCCUGGUGAACAGAAUGUGAAUUGAAUGGUGCAAGAAUCAAGUGACGCAUUGGCUUCUACACUUAAACGUGAACCUCAUGCUGCAUCAUUCAAAUACCAGGUGAGAUAUCUUAUUUAAUUUUAGAAGCAACAUACUUACAUCAACCGUUAACCAAUAUUUCUACAAUUUCAUGUGUGUCCAGACAAUGGAACUCCGUUUCGAUGUUGGUAUUCUAGAUUGUGACGCCAUGCAAAUGUGCAAGUAGAUGCUUACAUUUAAGAGAAACUACUGCCUACAUCAUCAGCCCUGAUUUAUGGAGGGAGUAAACGCUUCUUAGAAGCUUGUGUCUCCCUACAAGUUCGCACAACAUUUUCUCCAAAAAAGACCGGCAUCAACAUCUUCAAAAUGCUGUGAGAACAUCAAAUUUCACAUAGUUGAACUCUGUUCCUCUAAUUUCUGUACAUGAUUUCAAACUAAAACACCUUGUAGUCUUGCAUAAAAGUGUACUGCAGUCUGUAAUCUCACGUUCAGAAAUAUGUAAACAUCAUUCCAGUCUCUUCCUCACUGUGUCAGAUGUCCUUCCAAGGACAUCUUGUCUGGUUCAGAGGCCUCUCGUUUUAUUCUCUUAAAACCGUCAGUUCUUAAUAUUUUUCAUUCUCUGUUAGUUUCAACUGCCUGUAUAACUACUUACAGAUAUGCUGAGAAACGCAGUUGCAAUACUUAUGGUUUCGGCAGUCUCAGAUCACAUUUUUGUUCUCUUAGUAUUAAUUGGUGAAUAUAGUGACUUAAAACACAACUUUCAUGCUGUCAUGUGCUGUAAUAACAGAGAAGAGUGGGCUUUUUAUUUCUCAGUGCUCUGAGUUUUUACUUUGUGUUAUGUCUGCUUAAUUUGUUGCUUUGCCCCAUUCAGUGUUAUGGCUUAUUUUCAACAAUAUCAAUGACUCGGAUUAUAUGGCGUCCUGUGAUCAGCCGAUCAGUGAAUGAUGCACUGUAAAUGGUGUGCAAGGAAGAACAUUUUGCAUCACUUAAGGUAAUAUUCAAUAUUUUCAUUGACUAGCUGAGGAAAACCUGAAUGAGUAUAGCUGUUGUGUGGACUGAGGUAUCUGAUGUGAGUACCUCCACUGAUGAAUGCAUUAACUCCCCCAUAAAGGUAAUCACUAAGCAGGUUUACUUUGUCAUUUUGGCACUCAAUGUUUUCUUCAGUAUAUCUCAGCCUUUGCUCUGGAAAUUUUAUUUAUAGAAUUGGUUUCUGUAAACAGAAUUUCUUGUUUCAGGUUACAUAAUUAAGUUAAAGUUUUGGGAAUUAAGGUACAGUCUGACAUAAAUUUAGCUUAUUUACUCAAAUAAUGAGGAAUCUAUUACUUUCCACUGUAAAGACUUACGUUGAGAUAUUUUGUCCACACUGAAUUUCUUAACGCAAGUUUGAGUAUUCUCAUUUAUAAAACUGCAUGAAGUAUCUGGUGCUGUCUUCCAUCACUAGUGCCAUAAGUUGUCCAGGUAUUAGCGACCGUCUCAUACACUUCUGGCUUAAUUUAUACAAAAUUGAUAUGUGUAUGUUGCCCUAACAAAGAAUAUGAUUUUGAAUUUGUCACUAGUAGUCUCUGCAUGUACUGAUAGUGACAAGGAGUGGAAAAUCCAGUAGGAAUGACAGCACCGCAAGUUGACAGGAAGACAGGGCAACAUGAAAGAGGAGACAUGUCAUCAGUUCAGAAGACUGCAGAGGGCCAGUGAAUUAAGACCAAAGUUCAGUUUUCUGAAUGGAUGAAGACAUCAGAGUGGUGAAGAAGAAUCAUCUUCAACGCCUCUCCUGAAAGUGCGUGCAGGAACUCACAGCCAGUCCAUGGAUUCUCCAUCGCAGUAACGUAUAACUAAACUUUACAGUGUGUAACUUUGGCUUAAGGAAUAAGCAGUGUAGAAUGUUGAACGUUUUCCAAAGUUUUGGCAAACGCUUGUGCUGCUAUCAUCAGGGUGAAUGUCUUUUUGAAAAUUCGUAAGCUUCUUCUUGACUUGGCAUUGGGGACAUGAUUAUAAUACCUGAGGAGCAAUGAACUAUUCAUUGUGGCCAGGUGCACUGCUAGCUUCCCAUCGUUUAUCUGUUGAUCUGUGCUAAUUGUUAUGCACAUCUGUUUGGUAAUUUCCCACUAUUUUCAUGAUUAUAGAAUUUCUGAUUUCUAGGUUCAACUGUUUCUUUUAACUUCUUUCAUUUCAGCAUUACUUACUGUGGGAAUUAUAGUCAGUGCUGUAUGGGCUGUAGAAAUGGACAUUCUUUUCGGUGGAUUUCUCUUUUUUAAUAGUAAAGUUUGCACUUGUUUCUCUAAUCCUGAUCCGAGAAUGAAAUGGAAAUUCGUUCUGAUACUGCUCAGCUUCAUGAAAAAAUUUAUAGUGGUACUGGGCUGAGAGCUUGGAAUACUUUUCCAUCAAAGUGCCACAUAAUCUGUGAAAUAUAACUCAUCUCAAUUUAAUUAUUUCAAAAAUUACAAACCAUGGCAAUGCAAUUUGUCUUUCACAGUAUUAACUCUGUUCAUAUCUGUGCAGGAACUACAGUAACAUAUUACUCAGCUUGGCCUACAAAUCCAUGCACUGACUUCCCUUAUGCAGUGCACUCUUGUACCCAUAUACCAGCUUCAGUGUCCUGUGCAUAAAUUUUGUAACCAUUCCUCUGUCAGUACCAUUCUUCUGUCCGGUUCAUAUCUCAAUAUUUACAACUGAUCUCCCUAAAUUUACCUCUAAUCACAAGUCGUGGCCUAUUGUACCACUAAUUUGCUACUGAACAUCUCAGGAUUGAAGGGCUGAAAAUUCCAUUGGGUCACAGGUUUAUCCUUUGGUAAGAGUAUGAUGCAUUUCCUACAAUUUGCCAUCACUUUCUGGUCCUUUGUCAUCUUAAAUAGCACAGCUGUAUUACAGUUUGCUUGCUUCAUAAAAACUAGUUAUAUCCACCUCAAAAGACCUAGGGACUCGACCCACGGUCAGGGGGAGGUCAGUGCAAACGAGUCUUAGGGAUCAGGUGUUUAUGAAGGGAAGUGAUAAAAAUGUUCUAGCAGCCACUUGUUAGAAUAAUAGGUAUAUAACCAGUGUUUACUGAAACCUUUAACAUUGUACGCUGCUUGUUCUCCAAAGGAGUUAUUCUUUAAGCUCAGACAAAAUUUAGGCUUGGAGAUGGAUCAUCACAAAGUAAUGCGGAGUAAACCAUAGUUUGAUGAUGAGUGCUCAAAAUAGUAGAGAAAUGGGAGCAGGCUAAAUUACAGUGGUUGCAAAACCCAAGACAAAUCAGUGGAGACAAGCAGCAAAAUCUAAGAUGUGAAAACAGUAGAACAUUUAGGGAGAAAAAAAGGAGUUACCUAAGACAAAACAUGAACUUGAAUCUAAUGAUAGAAAUGGAAGUAUUAGAGAUGUAUAGUGAUUCAUAAAUGAAUUUAGAAAGGUUACCAACCUAGCGUUAAUGUUAUGGUAAAGUUCAUGCUGCCACCAUUGGUAAGGUCUUUUAGUUGCAGUGGUCCUAGGUCAUGAGUCUAGAAUUGGGUAGAGUCAAGUUUUAAAUGUGUAGGUCGUGACUAGUUUCAUCAGGGCGGUAAUAAUGGGGAAUUGGCCUUUUUCAUGGCGGAAGCGCAGCUCACUGUCUUAUGGUUACUUAAUUAGCCAUUUGUGUUCUAUACUAAUUUAUUCUGCUAAGUGCAUACACUAAAUCUUACAAAGCCAUCAUACUUAAACUAUAUGUAACAAAUAUCUCUUAACUUACAACUGAUCAGUGUUGCACCAGUUUCUCAGUUAUUUUGUUAAAACUCAUCUGUUCCAAAUUUUAAACAAUUUUACGACCAAGAGGCACAAACGGUUCUAAAUUGUUUCCUUAAAUUCCAAGCAGUCGCUUACCUGUAAUGAACAGAAGGGGGAGCCAGUUCUUCAUUGUGCUUUUCUCCUGGGAGCCUGGCUUUAAAGUGACGAUCGCUUGGGUAUCAACAUUCGGAUUAUCGUGUCUGCAGGUGCCAAAGGGAAACGAAACUGCUUACACUGCUGAUACUACAAUCUGUCCCGCACAAAUGACCAGCUGUUUCACUUUAUCUUUAUUACAAUAUUCCCGUUGUUUCAAAACAAAGCGUCCUUGCUUUGUAUCUCCUAACCAAAUUUUACUGGGGGGGGGGGGGUUUGCAAGCAAACAGACUAAUAAAGGAACAAGCACAAAACUUCUUCUGCUUCAUUUACUUACAAAGCUCAAACAAAAUUAUCUUAAUUUUUAAAUUAACAUAUCAUAUAUGUAGCAAAUUGUUCAUGCUGUGACAGUGGCAAAGCUUCAUUUUUCUUUUCCUGAAUUUCCACUUAAUUGUGAACGUACUUUCUUGACGCACUGUAUUUGACAGAAAUCUUUAUCGUGUUCAGAGCUCUCUAGGUGCAUCAUUCACAAGGGAAUGGUCCGGUUGGUCAGGUCGAAACCUCACCUCAGAUUUUCUCGUCUACAGAACCCAUCUAGUAAUGUUUGUCCACAAAAUUUCAGCUGAAAAUACGCUGUGCAAGGGUGCUAAAAAAUUGCUCAAAAUUGGAAUGUACAGUUAAAAUUUGUGCCACCACGCACACACGUGACAACAGCUCACCAAAGCAGUGGCACGGUAUUCACCAUGCAAUGAUGUGCGUGGGCCAGAUGACAUGAGGGCAGUGAAAGACUUAAGAAAUGUCACACACACACAUGUUUAUUGAAUAAGUACAUACUUGAGAACCUUUUAUCUGUAUAAUAUACAGGUGUUUUAUAUGCUGCUUUGUGGAAGCAAUGCACUGAAACUAAAGACUGAGAAAAUAACUGACAGGUUUGGUGGGGUGGAAACGUGCAAGGGAAUAGAAAUGGAGUGGGAUUUGUAGUGAGAGUAGGUCUGAUGGAGGAGGUAGAGUGGGUUAAUGAUAGGAUAAUGAAAAUGACUAUAGCAGGGAAGGAUGACAAACUCGAAUUGAUACAAGUUUAUGCCCCACAAGUAGGAUGCUCUGAAGAUGAAAAGGAGAAAUUCAGGGAAGAGUUGGAGAGGUGGAUUGGGAGAGAGGGACAAAUAGUAAUGGGGGAUCUAAAUGCACAGAUGGGAAGUGAUAGAAUGGGUCUGGAAGAUGUGCUGGCACCUGAGGGGCGGGGAGGAAGAAAUGAAGAAGGGCAAAGACUGCUGGAGAUAUGUGUAAGGAAUGGGAUGAUGAUAGGAAACAGCUGUUUAAGAAUAGAAGAGACAGUCACAAAGUAACAAGGUACAGCUGGGAUGGCAAGCAUAAGUCAGUAAUUGACUAUUUCAUUUUGGAAAAGGAAGUGAAGGAAAGAUUGACGAACAUCAAGGUUAUACCGAGUGUGGCACUGGGUAGUGACCACAUGCUCCUGGUAGCUGAAGUGAGGAGAAGAAAGUUGUGGAGGAAAGGGUGCAAGCAAGAGAGGUGGAUAAGAGUCUGGAAACUAAAAAAAGAGGAAGUAAGAGAGAAAUUCAAGGAGGGGAUUGUAAAGAUGGUACCGAAAGAGGAGGUAGAGGGGGUUGAGGAAGAAUGGAGACGGUUUAAGGAAGGAAUAGUAAAGGUGGUGGAGGAAACGUGGGAGAACAAGUGGAAGAAAGAGGUGGAAAGAAACACCAUGGUGAAAUGAAAGGGUAAAGAGUGUGGUGAUGGAGAAAAAUGGGGCAUUCAGGGAUUGGUUCAAAGAGUGCACAGAGGUAAAGAGGAAAGCAUAUGAAGAAGCAAAGAGAAAGGCAGCAAGGGUAGUAAAGGAGGAGAAGAGGAAUUGGAUGGAAAAAUGGACAAGACAGUUAGAGGAAGAUGUAAGAGGAAACAGGUCAAUAUUGUACAAGUUGAUAAGAGGGAGAAGGAGAGGACAAAGUGAAAUGACAAGGCCAGUGGAGAGAAGAGCAGCAUGGAUUCAGGGAUGGGAGAUCAACAAUAGAUCUGAUAUUUGCAGUGCACCAGCUGUAGGAGAAGAUGUAUGAGUAUGGGAAGGAACUGGUGAUGGCAUUCAUGGAUAUAGAGAAAGCAUAUGAUAGUGUAGAUAAGAAUAUUUUGUGAGAGGUCUUGGAGGAAUCAGGAGUAGACAUGGAGCUGGUGUCAGGGGUGAAGAGUCUCUACAGUGGAAGUGUAGGGUGUGUAAUGACAGAGUAUGGGCCAAGAGAGUGGUUUAAGCUGAACAGUGGAGUGAGGCAGGGAAGCGCAAUAUCUCGACUGAUAUUUGUGGUACUGAUGGAAAAGGCAGAAAGAGUCAGCGAGAAUGGAAUGAAAGCAAUGGUGUUUGCAGACGAUGUGAUGGUGUGGGGAGAGAGAGAGAAGGAAAAGUGCAGGAACAGUUGGAAGUAUGGCAAGAGGAGGUAGAGAGGUGUGGCAUGAAGUUUAACAUCAAGAAGUGCGAGGUGGUGUGUAUGUCAAGAAUGCAGAACAAAGUAUGGAAUGGGAUUGAGUUAAGGGGAGAGAAACUUAAAAUGGUGGAGAGGGUCGCAAUAGGUUGGAGCUAGUAAGGAGGGGACAGCAGUGAGAGAGUUUCUACAGAGCGGUGAAAGAUUUACUGUGGCAACGGGAAGUCCCAAUGAGGUGCAAGAGGUCGCUGUAUGAGGUGUACCUUGUACCAAUUGUUACGUAUGCAGCAGAAACUUGGACAUUGGGAAGGAAGGAGAUACAGAAGGUGGAAACAAUGGGUAUGAAGUUUUUGAGGAGUGUAUUGGGUAUAACAAGGAGAGAUAGAGUACAAAAUGAGGAAGUUAGGAAAUGAAUGGAUGUGAGGGGUCUGGUAGAGAGAGUAGAAGAAGCAAGAAUGAAGUGGUAUGGAUACGUGAAGCGAAUGGGAGAUGGGCGAAUAGCACGACAAAUGUUGAAUUUGAGAUUGACUGGCACAAGACCACGAAGAAGGUGGGAUGAGCAGAUAAAACGAGGAGUGAUGGAGAGAGGUGCCCAGUGGCAGUUGGUGGAAGAAGAGGAGUGGUGGAGGGACAGGAAGAGAUAGAUUGGCUUUACCAAGCGGAUCCGGUUCCAGGCUGGAAACAGCAAUGGAUGAUGAUGAGGUUUGGUGUUAAUAUGUACAACGGCCAAUGUUCUUGUUUCUCUUCUCGUAGGCGGGUUUCGUGGAGUUCCAACACCGUCCACAUAUCCUUGUUGCAGUGGGAUUUAGCCAUAGAUGAUAUGUAAUCUAGUUGGCUGAUGUCUUCCUUGUUUUGCCAGUUGUAGUUUUUGAAGUUCAUUCACUGUUAUCGUCUCAAACGGUUCUGGUAGGGAGGGAGAAUUCAUGGUGAAGGACUGAGGUUGCUGUGCUGCCACGUGUAGUUGCGUAUACUUGGAAACUCCCGUCCAGUAUGUAACAGGAGCUUGUAUUGUGUAAAAUUCCAUUUCCUCCAAGAAUUAACCUGUGACUCUGUCUAAUGCCAUUUGCAAAACAUUUUGCUUGAACACACUGUUCUGAGUUGUCUUCAUUUACAGGUCUGACACAUAAUCUUGGAAUUCAUCUACAGCAUAAAUGUUUAUUCUAUGAGUAUAUUAUAUGUUGUGUAUUCUGUACUGUUUACUUUGCCAGGCUGUUACUAUAUGUGUUAGGAAAUUUUAUAUUUUUUGUGCUGGUUUAUAUUUGGUUAGGGGCCUAGUCUAUUAGUAAGUGGUUGAAAUUAGUCCAUUAAGUAAGGUUCUGUUCAUUACAAAACUGUUGUACUGUCCAAUUGUUUUCAGGUUUGUAAUUUGGGUGGAAUCCAGAAACUAUGUGAUGCCUUGCAGGAGAACCCUACAUGGACAGUGACACAUUUGUCUUCGUACUUAUCACUUUCAGCAUACUGUUAUCACAAGGAAUUUAUAAGGUUAUGAAAUAAGAGAUAACAAUGUUAAUCAUUAUGAUGUUACAUGUUAAUAUCACUUAUAUUACCCCUUUAAAGCCUAGGGUAACUAUAUGUUCCAGUUCAACAAUCAGUAACUCUUCAUUUUGUAUUUAUGGUUUUCAUAUGAUUACGAUGUAAACAGGAAUUACUUACUUAAACAGAAUAUAGAAUGAGCAAACAAGCAA